GGGCGGGUAGCUCAAUGGUUAGAGCAGUACUCUUAUAAGGUACCGAUUUGCAGGUUCGAGUCCUGCCCCGCCUA
rnacentral:tRNA from 1 species